GAUGAACGCUGGCGGCGUGCUUAACACAUGCAAGUCGAACGGAAAGGCCCAAGCUUGCUUGGGUACUCGAGUGGCGAACGGGUGAGUAACACGUGGGUGAUCUGCCCUGCACUUCGGGAUAAGCCUGGGAAACUGGGUCUAAUACCGGAUAGGACCACAUUUUGGAUGGUGUGGUGGAAAGUUUUUCGGUGUGGGAUGAGCUCGCGGCCUAUCAGCUUGUUGGUGGGGUAAUGGCCUACCAAGGCGUCGACGGGUAGCCGGCCUGAGAGGGUGUACGACCACAUUGGGACUGAGAUACGGCCCAGACUCCUACGGGAGGCAGCAGUGGGGAAUAUUGCACAAUGGGCGCAAGCCUGAUGCAGCGACGCCGCGUGGGGGAUGACGGCCUUCGGGUUGUAAACUCCUUUCGCUAGGGACGAAGCGCAAGUGACGGUACCUGGAGAAGAAGCACCGGCUAACUACGUG
rnacentral:rRNA from 1 species